CUCUCUCUCUCUCUCUCUCUCUCUCUCUCUCUCUCUCUCUCGAUUCACUUCUAUAUCCCCUACCAUCUGUCUCUCUUGCUCCUUCCUUUCUUCUUUCUUCCAUCCACCCAUCCACCUACCCACCAGUAUGCUUUCUGUGGAACAAACUCUGUGUUGUGCUUGGGACAUUAAGCUGAGGCUUGGUUUCAGCCUCAGGGAGAUGCUCUCUCUGGGUGGGCUGUCCUUGAGUGUCCCCUGCAGUUUCUCUUUGUAAAGAGGGAGGGGCCCAACUGUAAUGAAGCAGAACUUGCAGCUCCAUAUUGGGACAUCACGAGGCCCCCAUUUGCACAUGGUGUUUGAAGGAAGCCCAGACCACAGAUGUGAAAUGAGCAUCCAAGGGGUGCUUUUUGUGGGACCCCACACAUCCUUUAACAUGUAGUUUGUGUGUUGUGAAGAUUUUGUGUUUUCUGUUUAUAUGAGAAUUAACUGGGAUUUAAUAACAUUAUUGUUCAGUAAAGCCCUUCUAUGAAUUAAUAACUGUAGGAUUUGCAAAGUGCCCAUGGAGUUAGGAGAGGUUCUCUGGAUUGGAGAAGUACCCUCCCUGGUGGUGGCACAGUGGAUGCCAUUCCUAGGUUGGUGCAGGUGCUGUCUAGGAGGACACCUAAGGAUCUCUUGCUUGUCACUGUUUGGAGAGCCUGUUUAUACAAUGUCAUCAAUUCUGUUUUUACUCAGUUUCUUUAGGAACUUGCCUUCCCCACUCACUUUGAGACAGGGUCUUACUGUGUAACCCAGGCUACACAAACACACCAUUUCUGUCUUAGUCUCCAGAGUGCUGGGAUGACAGUGCCCAGGGUGUUUCUAUUAGUUUUUUUUAAAUGAUUUAUUUACUUAUGUAUGUAUAUAAGUAAGACUGUUACUGUCUUCAGACACACUAGAAGAGGGCAUCAGAUCUCAUUACAGAUGGUUGUGAGCCAUCAUGUGGUUGCUGGGAUUUGAACUCAGGACCUGUGGAAGAGCGGACAGUGCUCUUAACUGCUGAGCCAUCUCUCCAGCCCUUAUAUUGGUUUUAAACAGUUGUUGCUAAUAUAGUUUACUGAAUGUAAAAGUGAUUUUCAGGGCUUCUGCAGCCACUGCCUAAAAUAAGUGUUGUGUCCAUUGGCACCCUUUCCCUAGGUGUCCCAUCCACACUCUCUGCUUAGAGAGGCCUACUCUGAGCAUGUUACAUAACUGCAGUCUUAUCUUAGAUUUUAUCAGCAGCUGGCUCUCUUCACUUAGGAUGACAAUGAUCAGAGGUCUGCCUGUGUUACAGCAUGUGUCAGCACUCCAUUCCUUUUCAGGACUGAAUAAUAUUCCACCACAUGGAGAUAUGACACUGCAUUUGUUCAUCCAUUCACCAGCUGAUGGGCUGUUGGAUUGAGUUCUAGCUUUGGCUGAAAUAAUAAUAUUGAGAUUAUUGCUUUAAUUUCCAUUUUCCCAAUUGUCAAAUAAAUUGGAAACUUUUCAGAUUAUUUAUUAGCCAUUUGUGUUUCUAGUGUUUCUUCUUUUGGGAUCUAUUUGUUCAGUUUACUGGCCAGUUUACUCAAUGACUAUUUUUGGUGUUUAUGUUUCUCAGGGUAUUUUUUUAAUAUUGUAUAUACUAACCUUCUGUAUUAUCGUUGCUUUUAAUGCCAGUGUAUCACAAACUAGAAUCACCUGACUAGGGAGCCUCACUUGAAGAAGUGUCAGCCCUGAUUGAUGUGGCAAGACCUGCCCUGAUUGUGGGCAGCACCUUCUGGUAGAGCCUGGAUGAAAGGGUUUGUCAGAAGGAAGCUCAUCUGUAUCAGCACCCUUGGCCUCCUCCUGGUGGCUGAGUGGAUUUACCUAUUGCUCCUGCUAAUUCCACCACAGACAGCAGAACCGUUGUUUCCAGUGUCACUGUGGGCCAAGGACCAGUGUCUCCCCAGGAACCUUACAGGUCUCCAGCACCAGAUUGGGUCUGCUGAAGUGCCAGGCCAGGUGGACUGAGAAGCUCCCACCAGCUCCCCUCUCCUGCUUCAGUGAGAGAGACCGUGGGACUCCUACUGCUGGGGCACCAGCCUCACGGACAGAGUAACCGCCAGCUCCUGCCUCCUGAUCUGCUUGAGUUCCAGCCUUGGCUUCCUUUGGUGAUGAAAAGCAAUGUGGAAGUGUAAGCUGAAUAAACCCUUUCCUCCCC
ensembl:lncRNA